rnacentral:rRNA from 1 species
GGUCUGUGAUGCCCUUAGAUGUUCUGGGCCGCACGCGCGCUACACUGAUAAAGGCAGCGAGUAUCACCUUGACCGGAAGGUCUGGGUAAUCUUCUGAAACUUUAUCGUGAUGGGGAUAGAGCAUUGCAAUUAUUGCUCUUGAACGAGGAAUUCCUAGUAAGUGCGAGUCAUCAGCUCGCGUUGAUUACGUCCCUGCCCUUUGUACACACCGCCCGUCGAUACUACCGAUUGAAUGGCUUAGUGAGACCUUUGGAUGAGGCUUCAUGGCCGCAAGGCUAAUAAAGACUCAGAAAUUGGUCAAACUUGGUCAUUUAGAGGAAGUAAAAGUCGUAACAAGGUUUCCGUAGGUGAACCUGCGGAAGGAUCAUUACAAAUCCAAACAAAUACCCGUUGAAAUGUUUUCGGCCUUGGGCAAAGCUAUUUUCAUGAUCCAGAUGCUAUUCUAUAACAUCUGUGAAGUGAAGAAGCGAUGCAAACGCGUUAUCGUGUUAAACCAAGGUACCGACCUACUAAAUACUUAUAAUGUUGACAUAUCUGUAAAAUGCUUUUUUAUCGGAAACGAAAAGAAAGUAAUUUAAAACAAAUACAACUUUUAACAAUGGAUCUCUAGGCUCUUGCAACGAUGAAGAACGCAGCAAAAUGCGAAAUGUCGUGUGACAUGCAUUCCUCGUGAAUCAUCAAAUCUUUGAACGCACAUUGCACCUUCUGGCUCUGUCAGAAGGUAUACUUGUUUGAGUAUCGUAUACCUUUCUCUCUCGGAUCUCUUUUCGAAGUGAUCACUAAACGGGAGGACUUGAGAGUCUUGCUUUUUUGAAUUUCAUAUUCAAAAUCUCUGCAAGUCUCUUUAAAUUUAUGCCUGGCUAAGGUCUCUAGUCUCGGUUCAUAGCUCGUUUCGGCGAGAUCUGAACGGUCUAAUGGGAUAACAUCCAAUCAUUAGUCUACUAGACCCCCUUGCAAUUGACCAUACUUGUAAAUUUACAGCAGUUAUGCUUAAAUUUAUACGGUAUACUUCCAACUUUACCGAUCUCAAAUCAAGUAGGAUUACCCGCUGAACUUAAGCAUAUCAGUAAGCGGAGGAAAAGAAACUAACAAGGAUUCCCUUAGUAACGGCGAGUGAAGUGGGAAAAGCUCAAAUUUUAAAUCUGGCACCUUUGGUGUCCGAAUUGUAUUUGAUAGUGCUUUCUUGUGGCAAGCAUGAUGGCUUAAGUCUCUUGGAAAAGGGCAUCAUAGAGGGUGACAAUCCCGUCUAGGUCAUUAUUGCGAGUCAAUAUCAAGGAGGCUCGACGAGUCAGGUUGCUUGGGAAUGCAGCCCAAAAUGGGAGGUACAUUUCUCCUAAAGCUAAAUAUUGGCAAGAGACCGAUAGCGAACAAGUACCGUGAGGGAAAGAUGAAAAGAACUUUGAAAAGAGAGUUAAACAGUACGUGAAAUUGUUAAAAGGGAAACGAUUGAGAUCAGUGAUGUUCCUUCCGUUUCAGCUUGACCGUUUACGGUCUGGUGUAUUACGGAAGGAACAGGUCGACUCCCAUUGUUAGGUCUGGAUAAGGCUUGCGGAAAUGUGGCUUCACCUUCGGGUGACGGCUUUAUAGUCCGCUUGAGAUACAGACUUGA